UCUGCUACUGUUGAGUGAUGAUGCACCAGCUCUGCUAGGGUGCUGAAACGGCUUUCUGCUGUCACAUAUACCUGUCGAGAAAGAACCAGGAAUCUACUUAAAAGAAAGCAGCUGGAAGCUUUCAAUAACACUGGAAGACAGUGUUGUCCAGAGAACCUUACCUUUCCAUCUGAGGUGGUAUUGAUCCUGUAGUGGUAAACACGUCCUUCGUACCUGAGCGAGAUGGAUAGCUGCCCUGGGCUGCUCUCGCUUUCACGAACCAGGAAGCUGCCGUUGAUGAGACUGCUCAACAGAUACUCGGCUGCACUGCGUGACACUGGCCCAUGAUACCACGAAUGCUUUUCCAGGCUGUUCACUGGUGUGAUGUAGUUGCUUGGUACCCAGCCCUGCCCAUUUUUAGAACGUACCUCGCUCCAUUCACCAUUCUGGUUAUAACCCAGGACUCGUAACUUCUCACCUAUGACCAGAGAGAAAAAAAGCAAAAACAAUCUAUUGAGUCUCAUUGAGAUGCUCACAGUCAGCUGACUAAGCCUACAUUUGUAGCUAAACAAAAAUCCGCAACAGUGAAAUCAUAAUUGCAUUGCUCUAUUUAAAAUAUUUAAAAAGUAAGGCUUCAGACAGAUAACAGAACAAUUUAAGAUACUGUUCCCUAAUUUAUUGCAGUUUGGAUGAUCAGUUCAAAAGCUUCCCGUGGUUCAGAUUUUUAGACCAGAAAGACAUUUUUUGGAGGGCAGAGGAUUGUCUCCAUCUUGAAGCCUUAAAUGGCAUUUGAUAUAAAACAGUUGUGCAACAGGGUGUAUUCUGAUAUAUAUAUAUAUGUAGUGAAUAGAGAUAGAAAAAUCUCUGGCGGUUCUUAAAAUUUUUGAUUUUGCUCCACUUGAAAGAGUGAUGAGUUCUGUUAUCACCAAUAAUGUAAAGGUCCUUCUCUCCCCUUCCCCAGGGCAGGUGAUUUGGGGGCCUUAGGAUAGUAACAACAACAGCUGGCUAGACUGUUAAGCAACAUCCUCCAAAGCCCUCGCUGUACUAGGAGAACUGCCCGGCAGGUGUCCCUCUAACACAAGUGAGAGGGCACGUACACUUGCCAUCGGCACUUUAAAGAGUAAUCUCCAGCUGCAUUCAUUCUUAUUCUUUCCAGCAGAAUGACUGGAGAAGGAUUCGACUUUCUGUUUGGUGCGGCUGUGUUUACAGCCGAAUUGCUGCUCUGCAAUUCAGAGCCCUUACCUUUGGUGAUACUGAGUGUGUUGUCACCGCUUGCUACAAAAUCGUAAAGUGCAACAAAGAGAUUGGGAUCGCUCUCAGUGGCUCCAAGCAGGUUCUCCUUGGAGCUCCAUCUGAUGGCUUCGUUCAGUGCCUGGGGCUCAACAUCACAACCAUAGGGGCGGUGCAGGGCCUCUGAAGAAAGAGCAGAUGAGGAAAUUACUUUGUGUGCAAUCGUAAAUAAAUCAAAAUCCAGUGUAGCGCAGAGUGAAGCUCCUACUGCACAGCAGGCCCUUUAUGGAAAGGGAACACCACAUCUGGACAUCUCAGACCAGCAGUUCUCAGUGCCCACUUCACUGACUCUUGAGGGAAUCUAUGAGUUACUUCUAAAAGCAGACCAGAAAAGUUUUACAGCACACUAUCCAUCAGACAAAGAGCGUGAGAAAACUGGCACUAUCAUGGAAAAGAGGAAAUCCCAAUGCCUUCCCAGCUUUCUACAUUGGAGCACCACUGCGAACACAUCAGUAGCUUUUGGGGGCUGGGUGUGGGUAAACAUGUCAAGUUAUUAAGCAUUAGGAACUGUCUAGGUGGCAACAGAAAAGAACACCAACUCCUAAAUCCAGCCGUCUUUAUGGAGUGAAAAAUACAUAUGAACGGAAUAAUACAUUCUUCACACUCCUGUAGUGCCAUGUGUUAGAGAGAGUGUUUCAGCACCUUCAGCAAAAUCACUCAGCAAGUCUGCUGCACACAAAAUCCGACUUUGAUCUGCGCUAGCUCAAGGAGCAAACAGAGAAGUACGCAGGGCUUUCAGGAAAUAUCCCGACCUUUCAGCUCCAUAAUACCUUAAUGCUGUUCAAGUAACUGACUUCCAGUUAUACAUCUGCUGAAAUGUCAAAGGCUUUAAACAAAA